rnacentral:lncRNA from 1 species
UACAGUUUACACAGAGUUUUAUUCAGGGUAACUUACUGACAAGAGGGAUUGGGCAGAGGACAAUCGAGGCAGCUGCAAAGUUAUUCUCUGCAAAAUCCAGACGUCUACAGAUUUUAUAAAGGGGAUAGACAGGCAGAAGGGCAUUGUACUCAGAUCAAAGGGUUCAAAUGCACCUCAAAGAGCUUGCACACACCUGACAGCUAACCUUUAAUUGGAUCUUAGGGUACCGCCUCAAGAAGGGGAGAAAUUGCGUUAUCGCUAACAGAUUCAUGGGAGGCCAAAACAAGCCUCUCUUCAUCCCUGCAUGGAGCCUGCUUCUCCCUCUGCCUGUGUCUCUGCCUCUCUCUCUUUCAUGAAUAAAUAAAAUCUAAAAAAAAAGAAAAAGAAAAAGAAGGGAAAGGGAAAGAGAAAGGAAAAGGGAAAGGAAAGAAAGCUGUGUGGGACAGGCAAGCCGCUGGCACCGCCCGCCGGCCGGGUGCUUUCCGGGGAACGGUGUGGACCUCACCGUCCGGGGGGGCCGUGCGGCCCUGAAGCAAGAGCUGGGUUCUUGUCUCCCGGAGCAGAAGAAUGAGUCUCACGGACAAGAGAGAGUAAAAGCAGUGGAAGUUUAUUAAGCAAGGAUGCAGAGAAACUCUCAGGAGAGGGGUCCUCAUGGGGUUGCCAACUGGGCCUCCACUGACAAGUCUUUUAUUGAGAACUGACCAGGGAGAUUGUGGCCUUAUCCUCCCUGAGACGUCCUGGUUUAAGUCUGCUGAUAACAUCUUUAAUGACUUCCUUUUGGGUCUGGUUAUUCUUUACCGGUCACAGGUGUGUGUGUGUGUGUGUGUGUGUUUUCCACCCAUAUCCGGGGGCAGGGUGGUCUGGUCUGUGCCCGUAGGUCUGGUUUCCUUACAUCUCAGCAUUCUGGGGACUUUGUGAGCCUGCCUCCGCGGCCCCCUCUCCAUCUCUCCCUACCUAGCCCCGCCAGUCCCUCCCUCACUCAUCCCCAGCCCUUGGCACAGGUGGCUGCCGGGCCUCGCACCUGCGAGUUGGGUUUGGGCUGUCUCACGGGACGCUCAUCCAGGCUCAGGGACCUACCUGCACAGCUGCAAACGGUGCACAGUUUCCCAGACUGCCUGGGUCAGCACCCGCCCGCCUCCCCUCCCCCCACCGCUCCCGGGCCAGCCCGGCAGCCUCCCCACGCCUCAGUGACCUCAACGCAGGAGGGGCUGUGGCGCUGACCGUGGUGCGCGGCCCGGGAAGCCCGCCGUCCGCGACGCAGACGCGCCACAGCCGCGGCGUGGCCAGGACGGGCGGCGAGCGUCUCACCAGCUCCCACCGCCUCGGUGACGCGCGGCGACACUCACCACGGCGCUCUCGGGGCGCAAAAUUCGGGCCUCCUCCGACUGAGGCCUCUGUAGACGUUUGCCUCCUGCGUCCAGUCGCCCUCGCCCCUGGCGGACAGCCGCGUCCUCACCCGCAGCUCCUCGAGGAGGACAGCGCCUCCCGGGACGCGCCCAGGCGAGGGCGAAGCCACGCGGUGCGACGACGCCAGCUGCGGGAGACGCCGCCGCCGGGACGCACGC